UCCCUAGUGGCUAAGCUGGUAAAGAAUCCACCUGCAAUGUGGGAGACCUGGGUUCAAUUCCUGCGUUGGGAA
rnacentral:tRNA from 1 species